rnacentral:rRNA from 1 species
CCUACGGGCGGCAGCAGUGGGGAAUUUUGGACAAUGGGGGCAACCCUGAUCCAGCCAUGCCGUGUGUCUGAAGAAGGCCUUCGGGUUGUAAAGGACUUUUGUUAGGGAAGAAAAGAUACUUGAUAAUACCAAGUAUUGCUGACGGUACCUAAAGAAUAAGCACCGGCUAACUACGUGCCAGCAGCCGCGGUAAUACGUAGGGUGCGAGCGUUAAUCGGAAUUACUGGGCGUAAAGCGAGCGCAGACGGUUUGUCAAGCAGGAUGUGAAAUCCCCGAGCUCAACUUGGGAACUGCGUUCUGAACUGGCAGGCUAGAGUAUGUCAGAGGGGGGUAGAAUUCCACGUGUAGCAGUGAAAUGCGUAGAGAUGUGGAGGAAUACCGAUGGCGAAGGCAGCCCCCUGGGAUAAUACUGACGUUCAUGCUCGAAAGCGUGGGUAGCAAACAGGAUUAGAUACCCGUGUAGUC